rnacentral:rRNA from 1 species
GGUAUUGUUUCUUCGGAAUGAGAGAGCGGCGUACGGGUGCGGUAAACGUGUGCAACCUGCCUUUAUCUGGGGGAUAGCCUUUCGAAAGGGAGAUUAAUACCCCAUAAUAUUUAGAAUGGCAUCAUUUUAAAUUGAAAACUCCGGUGGAUAGAGAUGGGCACGCGCAAGAUUAGAUAGUUGGUGAGGUAACGGCUCACCAAGUCAACGAUCUUUAGGGGGCCUGAGAGGGUGAUCCCCCACACUGGUACUGAGACACGGACCAGACUCCUACGGGAGGCAGCAGUGAGGAAUAUUGGACAAUGGGUGAGAGCCUGAUCCAGCCAUCCCGCGUGAAGGACGACGGCCCUAUGGGUUGUAAACUUCUUUUGUAUAGGGAUAAACCUACCCUCGUGAGGGUAGCUGAAGGUACUAUACGAAUAAGCACCGGCUAACUCCGUGCCAGCAGCCGCGGUAAUACGGAGGGUGCAAGCGUUAUCCGGAUUUAUUGGGUUUAAAGGGUCCGUAUGCGGAUCUGUAAGUCAGUGGUGAAAUCUCACAGCUUAACUGUGAAACUGCCAUUGAUACUGCAGGUCUUGAGUGUUGU